rnacentral:rRNA from 1 species
UACAGAGGGGGCAAGCGUUAUUCGGAAUUAUUGGGCGUAAAGGGCGCGUAGGCGGCCUGGCAAGUGGAAGGUGAAAUCCCUCGGCUUAACCGAGGAACUGCCCUCCAAACUGCUUGGCUUGAGUCCGGGAGAGGUGAGUAGAAUUCCCAGUGUAGCGGUGAAAUGCGUAGAUAUUGGGAGGAACACCAGUGGCGAAGGCGGCUCACUGGACCGGAACUGACGCUGAGGCGCGAAAGUGUGGGGAGCAAACGGG